AUUGAACGCUGGCGGCAGGCUUAACACAUGCAAGUCGAGCGGAGCGAGGGUGCUUGCACCUUAGCUUAGCGGCGGACGGGUGAGUAAUGCUUAGGAAUCUGCCUAUUAGUGGGGGACAACAUUCCGAAAGGAAUGCUAAUACCGCAUACGCCCUACGGGGGAAAGCAGGGGAUCUUCGGACCUUGCGCUAAUAGAUGAGCCUAAGUCGGAUUAGCUAGUUGGUGGGGUAAAGGCCUACCAAGGCGACGAUCUGUAGAGGGUCUGGGAGGAUGAUCCGCCACACUGGGACUGAGACACGGCCCAGACUCCUACGGGAGGCAGCAGUGGGGAAUAUUGGACAAUGGGCGGAAGCCUGAUCCAGCCAUGCCGCGUGUGUGAAGAAGGCCUUUUGGUUGUAAAGCACUUUAAGCGAGGAGGAGGCUACUUAGAUUAAUACUCUGGGAUAGUGGACGUUACUCGCAGAAUAAGCACCGGCUAACUCUGUGCCAGCCGCCGCAGUAACAC
rnacentral:rRNA from 1 species